ensembl:lncRNA TMEM277P transmembrane protein 277, pseudogene
ACCCUGUACCUUUGCUCCUAAGCAUGAAGAUGGGCUUCUGACCAAGUCCUGCUAGAGGACACUGAAAGGGCAAGCCUUGGGCUUUAACCAGGCAAUGUUCUCAUCCAUAUGAGCAAGGGCUUCAUGUUACUGGCCGUGGCCCUGUGCUGAGUCCUCCUCCCGCCCAUGGCCCUCUCCUCCUGGCCAGUGGUCCUCCGCCUGAACAUGGCCGACUUUGUCUUCAGUUUCCUCUGCCUCGGCAUUGUUAACGGCAAGGCGGUGCACCCAAGUCCGGUGGUGUCCUACCUGGUGACCUCCUACCUGUGCUGGGACGCCAGCGACUUGAUGCUGCACUCCGCAGGGCGCAGCGAGGCGGACAUCCAAACAGCGGAACUCAGACGCUGACUCCGAGCGCACCCCGGGCCUUCCCAUUUCAUACACCCUCGAGGAUGAGACCCAAGCACCUCCAAGGAAUAGCACCCGAGGUCUUCAGGACACCGACCGGUAGCCAUGGCCAGAUGCCCGGCCAACCCCUUCAGCGUGGCCACGCCCUGGAUAUUCGACCUCCCCUGAGGCCCCACCCCCUGAUAUCAGGCCACGCCCUCCGAGGGGACCGGUGGCAAACUCCAGCCCUCGCUCUAGGGCCCGCCCUUUGCGGCUUUGUCCCUGCCCACUGGGUCCUCACAGUACCUCCACCCCAGAGGCCCAGCAUCCCCUCCCGUUCUGCAGACACUUGUCCAGCGUCCCGCUGAGCUCGGCAGUGUGGCUAGUUUGUGUGGCCCUGCCCCUGGUGCCCAGCCAGGGUGGUCUGCAUGGAACUUCUUUCCCGGAGUUCCGGCCUCAGCUCCGAUGUCCACCCUUGUCCCCAGGUGGACACAGCACCGCCCAGCAUUUGGUGCAACUCCACCCUUCUGCAGAACGGGCCCCUCCCUGGGAAGGCAUGGCUUGCAAUAACAUCCCUCUGUACCUUUUCUGGCUUCCCCGCCACAAUAAAACCUCUCAGCCUCAGACC